AAGGAAUAUUGGACAAUGGAGGAAACUCUGAUCCAGCCAUGCCGCGUGCAGGAAGAAUGCCUUAUGGGUUGUAAACUGCUUUUUUAAAGGAAGAAAUACUCAUUCGUGAAUGGGUUUGACGGUACUUUAAGAAUAAGGAUCGGCUAACUCCGUGCCAGCAGCCGCGGUAAUACGGAGGAUCCAAGCGUUAUCCGGAAUUAUUGGGUUUAAAGGGUCCGCAGGCGGUUUGUUAAGUCAGAGGUGAAAUCCUACCGCUCAACGGUAGAACUGCCUUUGAUACUGGCAAACUUGAGUUAUUGUGAAGUAAUUAGAAUGUGUAGUGUAGCGGUGAAAUGCUUAGAUAUUACACAGAAUACCGAUUGCGAAGGCAGAUUACUAACAAUUAACUGACGCUCAGGGACGAAAGCGUGGGUAGCGAACAGG
rnacentral:rRNA from 1 species